UGGCCUUAGCAGAGGUUUUCAAACGGCGA
rnacentral:sRNA from 1 species